rnacentral:rRNA from 1 species
UACAGAGGUCUCAAGCGUUUGUUCGGAUUCAUUGGGCGUAAAGGGUGUGUAGGUGGCGCGCUAAGUCGGGUGUGAAAUUUCGGAGCUUAACUCCGAAACUGCAUUCGAUACUGCCGUGCUUGAGGACUGGAGAGGAGACUGGAAUUUACGGUGUAGCGGUGAAAUGCGUAGAUAUCGUAAGGAAGACCAGUGGCGAAGGCGGGUCUCUGGACAGUUCCUGGACGCUGAGGCACGGAAGGUCAGGGGGAGCAAAACGGG